rnacentral:rRNA from 1 species
AACGAACGCUGGCGGCGGGGUUUAGGCAUGCAAGUCGAGCGAGAAAGGGGCAACCCGAGUAAAGCGGCGUAAGGGUGAGUAAUAGAUAGUUUACGUAUCCUGUUGACGCGGAUAAUUUCCCGAAAGGGAUUGUAAUACGCGAUGAGACCACAUCCGAUCCGUCGGGAGAGGUCAAAGGUUCGGGAUCCUUCGGGACCGAGCGCAAUGGGGAGCGGACGAUCUCCGAUUAGCUUGUUGGCGGGGUAACGGCCCACCAAGGCGAUGAUCGGUAGCCGGCCUGAGAGGGUGUCCGGCCACACUGGGACUGAGACACUGCCCAGACUCCUACGGGAGGCUGCAGUCGCGAAUCAUUCACAAUGGGCGCAAGCCUGAUGAUGCCACGCCGCGUGCGGGAUGAAGGCCCUCUGGGUUGUAAACCGCUGUCACGGGAGGGAACCGCCGGAUGUGAAUAGCAUCCGGUCUGACUGCUCUCGAAAGGAA